GGGGAGAUUUUGAACCUACUAUCUCUCAUUCAUUCAGAUGGUUGAUUUUUGUUUAAGGUCUAUGGACAAGCGUUUCAAUUCAAUAUUUCCAGCUGCACUGGGGCAGGUUUUCACACCACCAUUUCAAACAGAAUUGUUGUGUGAAUUAGAAAAUUUUCCUACAGAAUGCUUUUUCUUUUAUAAAUUUGUAGUGUCGAGCCCUUGCUAAACGCUUAGCACUGGCAGAAAAGUCCAGAGAAGCCCUGUCAGAAGAAAUAAAAGUUGCCAAUCAAAAUAUUGUGCGAUUACAGGAUGAGCUAACAACGACAAAGAGGAGCUAUGAAGAUCAGCUGAGUAUGAUGAGCGAUCAUCUGUGUAGUAUGAAUGAGACUUUGUCAAAACAAAGGGAAGAAAUUGACUCUCUCCGUAUGGGCAGUAAGGGUAAUACAAAGAAAAACAGAGGGCGAUAAGACACCUUACAACUAAGACAUCUGAGCAUUGAAGAUACAGCUGCUGUUAUCCAGAGGGAAUUUUAUGAUGCCAAAUGAAUAUCUGUGCUGCAGUUCUUUCUAGGAGUAAAGGUGCACAGUGAUUGUGGUAUUACAGAGCCUAGGAAUCAAAAGAAAAUUUGGACUUAAAGGAUUUUCUUAAAAUAACACCUUAAAGUUUUAGGAACACAAUGGAAAUAUUCUGGCAUUUAAAACAUAUUCCAAAAAUAUUGUACCUAUGAAAUUCCCAUUCAGUAGGUAAUUUGUAACAAUAGCUUUUUAAGAUUGUAUUUCAUUAGGUGAAUCCAUAAUGAAGGAGGUUUUGUACAUUGAAUUAUGUGAUGAUGUGUAUGUUAAUUGUUUAACUAUUCUCUGAAAUGAGAGAUCUAACAUUGUGCAAAUCAGGUGUUUUGAUUUCUCAAAAUGUGGAGCACAAGUCUAGUUUGUCCCUUUGACUCCUGUUACUAACCCUGUUAGUGCUGCACCGGCCCUCUCCUCUUCACUUCACAUCACAUCAUCCUUCUACUCUUUCUCUCCCCUAGAAAAUUUAAAUGUGAAAAUUUAAAUGAAGAAAAAUGAUGAAUAAAAAUGGUGCAUUAACUGCUUACUUGGGGUGCUGUCUCAUUAAAGGAAAUUUAUUAGUCCAGUAGUCAAGCAUGUAAUUUUCUAGGUGAGGCUGCAAGUAUGCUGUGACUGUACUAUAUUUACCACUUGAACAUUCUGUUCAUUUGAUAUGGCUGAAUUAAAGCAUCAUGAUGUCUCCUA